rnacentral:rRNA from 1 species
CACGUAGGCGGAUUGUUAAGUCGGGGGUGAAAUCCUGGAGCUCAACUUCAGAAUUGCCUUCGAUACUGGCUUUCUAGAGGCUGGAAGAGGUUAGUGGAAUUCCCAGUGUAGAGGUGAAAUUCGUAGAUAUUGGGAAGAACACCAGUGGCGAAGGCGGCUAACUGGUCCAGAUCUGACGCUGAGGCGCGAAAGCGUGGGGAGCAAACA